rnacentral:lncRNA from 1 species
UGACAAAGUACCAGGGCGUAUCUCAGUCACAUGCCUGAUUCUCUGGCCAGUUGCACAACUGAGGUGUUCAUUGCCACCUCAUCAGUUAGGUGCAAUUGGCUGCAGUAGGCUACACAAACCUUACAUAAAUAUCAAGAGGAUUCUAACCAAUCACUUAGCCAUGAAAACUGACUAGGGGAGUGGAACUGGUAAAGCCAUUCCUUAAAUGUCUCACUUUCUUUGAAAGCGCCAUUAGGGUCACUAGAAAUCGGUUCCAACUUGACAGCACAGAACACACAAAAAGAUUUAUUCGGUAUUUAUUGCGCUCCUAGUCUUUGGAUAUAUUUUUUGCCCAAGAAACAUGUGUCUAGUGCCUAACCAAAAGCUCUUACAUACAUUUCCCAUCUAGGGCAGGAGUAGUCCUCUAGUUCGUGGCAUUAAAUGCAGUGUCCUUUAAGCUCUAGGCAACAUAGCUAGUGAUCAAGUUGGAAGGAAUAAAUGGCCAGCAACAUAUGAAAAACUGCAGAUUCCCUAUUUCUGAUCAUGUCAGUUCUGGAUGUUUUCACUCUCUUCCCCGGCCAGUCAUUUGCCUGGAGCAACAUCGUCCUCUCUUCAAGGAGCAAUCCUUCAGAACUGAUCUCUGCACACAGUACUGGGCCUGUAUUCCUCCAUGGCAGCUGUCCGUAGGCCAUUGUUUGUCCAAAAGGGGAAGAGGCAAAUUAUAAUGUAGAUUCAAUCAGGGUGAUUAUAAUAUCUUGGAAGUGAGGAGGGGGGAUCAUUAGGUGUCUUUAAAGGGAGAAACAAGUGACUAAAGAUUGCAGAAUGGAGUGUCUUGAUGAGGGCGGGGUCGUUCAGCCAAUGUAUGCAUUCAAUAAAAGUUUGGUUGUUUCUAGAAAUACAAUUGAAUGUCUCAAAUGUCACCUUUUUUCCUGCUUUCUAUCAUACAUUAGUGGUCUAACAAGAAAACUAUUAAACAAACAACCAAAAUGUUCUAGAUCAGUGGUCCCCAACCUUAAACAAGUGACUAAAGAUUGCAGAAUGGAGUGUCUUGAUGAGGGCGGGGUCGUUCAGCCAAUGUAUGCAUUCAAUAAAAGUUUGGUUGUUUCCAGAAACCAGAAGCAACAUCUGCAUGUUCUUUCACCUAUUUUGACACACAAAAAGUACCCUGAUAUUUGACAUCAGUCGCCACAACCAUGAUAAUACAAUUGAAUGUCUCAAAGGUCACCUUUUUUUCCUGCUUUCUAUCAUACAGUAGUGGUCUAACAAGAAAACUAUUAAAUAAACAACCAAAAUGUUCUAGAUGAGAAAUGCUC